rnacentral:rRNA from 1 species
AGUGAAGCGGGAUGAGCUCAAAUUUAAAAUCUGGCUGGUUUACUAGUCCGAAUUGUAGUUUAUAGAAGCGUUUUCGGUGGCAGCCUGGGUAUAAAUCCUUUGGAAUAGGGUAUCAUAGAGGGUGAGAAUCCCGUCUUUGACUCAGUGCAUGCUACUAUGUGAUACGUUUUCAAAGAGUCGAGUUGUUUGGGAAUGCAGCUCAAAAUGGGUGGUAAAUUUCAUCUAAAGCUAAAUAUUGGCGAGAGACCGAUAGCGAACAAGUACCGUGAGGGAAAGAUGAAAAGAACUUUGAAAAGAGAGUUAAACAGUGCGUGAAAUUGUUGAAAGGGAAACGUUUGACACCAGUUAUGCGGGUGGAAAAUCAGUCUUUUGCAAUGGGGAGUUGUGGGCGUUCAGACCGCAAGGCUGGCGUUUGCUUCAUCUUUGUUGUAAGUGAUGCACUUUUUCAUUUGCAGGUCAACAUCAGUUUGCUUUGCUGGACAAAACCCCAAGGGAAGGUGGCAGCUUAGGCUGUGUUAUAGCCCUGGGGCGAUACAGUGGAGUGGACUGAGGUUUCGCAGUGUGUGCUCUCGGGCAAGGCUGACUGGGUGCUAUGGGAUCGUUCGGCGUACAAUGCAUGCAUUUUGCGUCGUGUCUUUUUCAUACUCGCUCAACUCGGCUCUUCCACACUUAGGAUGUUGACUUAAUGGUUUUAAACGACCCGUCUUGA